GUUGCGCGCGUUUCCUUUGCUAACUGGUUACACUGUCGGGACUGCCACUGAGCGCACACAAUAACUCAAGAGUCACCUAUUUCUAAAUUCUUAUGCGCACAGUUAGCAAAGUUAUCACUAACCUUUCCAACGAGUCAAAAUUGUCCUAGGCUGCCGUGGGUAUAGCAAGCUAGUUAUUCACUUCCGCCACAACUGCGCAGGCGCGUCGGAGUCGAUUAAUCUGACAGAAGUUUUCAUGACGGUGUUGUGGGCACCGCUGGAGAUUUGCUCAGCUAUCUGUUGCAUCAAAUUCCAGAUUGGUGAGCAGGAGUCUGGGUGAAGGCAGAGAC